GUAGGGAAUAUUGGGCAAUGGAUGCAAGUCUGACCCAGCCAUCCCGCGUGCCGGAAGAAGGCCCUCAGGGUUGUAAACGGCUUUUGACGGUGAAGAAUCGACAGGAUGCGUCCUGUUUUGACGGUAGCCGUUGAAUAAGCACCGGCUAACUCCGUGCCAGCAGCCGCGGUAAUACGGAGGGUGCGAGCGUUGUCCGGAUUUAUUGGGUUUAAAGGGUGCGUAGGCUGGAAGGUCAGUCAGCGGUGAAAAGCUAUCGCUUAACGAUAGUCUUGCCGCAGAUACUUCCUUUCUUGGAUGAGGAGGAGGCCACUGGAACGGAUGGUGUAGCGGUGAAAUGCAUAGAUAUCAUCCAGAACACCGAUUGCGAAGGCAGGUGGCUGUACCUUAAUCGACGCUGAUGCACGAAAGCAUGGGGAGCAAACAGGAUUAGAAACCCGGGUAGUCC
rnacentral:rRNA from 1 species